AGCGAACGCUGGCGGCGUGCUUAACACAUGCAAGUCGAGUGCGCAGUUUCCUAUAGCAAUACAGGAAAUGGGCGCACGGCGCACGGGUGCGUAACACGUGGACAAUCUACCCUUUGAUGGGGAAUAACCCGCCGAAAGGCGGGCUAAUACCGCAUAACAUCCCACUCGCUUCGGCGAUAGGGAUCAAAGCCCGCAAGGGCGUCAUUGGAGGAGUCCGCGGCCGAUUAGCUAGCUGGUGAGGUAAUGGCUCACCAAGGCUUGGAUCGGUAGCCGGUCUGAGAGGACGAUCGGCCACACUGGAACUGAGACACGGUCCAGACUCCCACGGGAGGCAGCAGUGGGGAAUCUUGCGCAAUGGGCGAAAGCCUGACGCAGCGACGCCGCGUGGGGGAUGAAGCUUCUCGGAGUGUAAACCCCUUUCGACCCGGACGAAUGACCCGCAAGGGUUUGACGGUACGGGGAGAAGAAGCCCCGGCUAACUACGUGCCAGCAGCCGCGGUAAGAC
rnacentral:rRNA from 1 species